rnacentral:rRNA from 1 species
GGAGGUAGUGACAAUAAAUCACAAUGCGGGACUUUUAGUUUUGCAAUUGGAUUGAGAACAAUGUAAAAGAGUUAUAGAUAAACAAUUGGAGGGCAAGUCUGGUGCCAGCAGCCGCGGUAAUUCCAGCUCCAAUAGCGUAUAUUAACGUUGUUGCAGUUAAAAAGCUCGUAGUUGAAGUGUGGGGUGAAAGAAUGUGUGUUCAUUUUGAAUGUGCGUUUGGUCACCCCCUCUCCAAUGUGUUAUUAUGGGUAUUAAUUUACUUGUAAUAGCUAUUGGUCAUUUACUGUGAGAAAAUUAGAGUGUUCAAAGCAGGCAUUUGCUUGAAUAUAUUAGCAUGGAAUAAUAAUAAAAGGCUUUUGUGGUCGAUUUAAUUGGUUUGUUCAUGAAAGCAAGAUUAAUAGGGACAGUUGGGGGUAUUCAUAUUCAAUAGUUAGAGGUGAAAUUCUCGGAUUUAUGGAAGAUGAACAAGUGCGAAAGCA